GAGCUCUCUGCAACUCCAAUGGCGGCCAUAAGCUCUCUAUCACUCAAAACUCCAACAAAAAUUCAAUCUUUAACCAAAACCCAUUACGCCAUACCUCUCAAUCUUCCUUUUUCAUGCCGUUCCAAAUCCAAAAGAACCGGGUCAAUCGGGUCCCGGACCCGAAUCCGUUGUGGUUUGUUGAUAGAACCUGAUGGAGGCAAACUUGUGGAGCUUUUUGUUGAGGAAUCACAAAGAGAAUUGAAGAGAGAAGAUGCUUUGAAAUUGCCUAAAAUUAAGCUUACGAAGAUUGAUCUUGAAUGGGUUCAUGUGUUAAGUGAAGGAUGGGCUAGUCCAUU
rnacentral:misc_RNA from 1 species